GAUUGUAGUCCCAGCUACUCAGGAGGCUGAGGCACGAGAAGUAUUUGAGCCCGGAGGCAGAGGUUGCAGUGAGCAGAGACUGCGCCACUGCACUCCAGCCUGGGUAACAGUAAGACUCUGUCUCAAAAACAAAACAAAACAAAAGACUUAUUUGUAUGUAAUUGUUAGUAGUGUAAUUCUGAAAAGCUUUUAAAAUCUGCUCUUACAGGGUGAAAGGUUGAGCCAUGCAGUAGGCUGUGCUUUUGCAGCCUGUUUAGAGCGCAAGCAGAAGCGGGAGAAGGAAUGUGGAGUGACUGCUACUUUUGAUGCUAGUCGGACCACUUUUACAAGAGAAGGAUCAUUCCGUGUCACAACAGCCACUGAACAAGCAGAAAGAGAGGAGAUCAUGAAACAAAUGCAAGAUGCCAAGAAAGGUACAAUCUGUUCUACAGUGUGUAUUUAUGGAAUGCAGUUUUUCCCAACAAGGUAUUAUUUUGAAGCUACCAGGGGUAAAUUUUCUCAUAAUCAAAGAGAACCCUUAGCAAUAUAAAACCUUAUAACAAAGUUGAAAAUCUUAAAAACCGCUUCCUUUAGAGUGGCUAGUUUAAUGGCUUCAAAAAUAUUUACUCCAUUAUAGUAAGCUAUCUGAGGAAUCAGAGUGCAGUUGAAGAAGCUGCAGAGACAUCUCUUACCCCCUUCCUCCCAUCCUGAAAUACCUUUUUAAUUCUGAUGUAUCUGAUCUCUUUGAGAAGCAAAUAACUUAUGUUUUAAGAGACACUGGGAAGGAAAUGGGUAAAAGGACCUAGAGGGCUUUCGAAUUUGUCAGCUCUCUAAACGCAAAUUAUUUGAAGACAUUGCUAAGGUCUUCAGAAUCCAUCACCGGAUUUGGUGAUGUGCAGACAUUCCUG
rnacentral:lncRNA from 1 species